UACGGAGGGUGCAAGCGUUGCUCGGAAUUAUUGGGCGUAAAGGGUAGGUAGGUGGUCUUAUUUGUCUGGGGUGAAAGCCUUGAGCUUAACUCAAGAAGUGCCCCAGAAACGGUGAGACUAGAGUCUUGGAGAGGGUCGUGGAAUUCCCGGUGUAGCGGUGAAAUGCGUAGAGAUCGGGAGGAACACCAGAGGCGACGGCGGCGACCUGGACAAGUACUGACACUCAACUACGAAAGCGUGGGGAGCAAACAGG
rnacentral:rRNA from 1 species